CUUAACACAUGCAAGUCGAGGGGCAGCAUGGUCUUAGCUUGCUAAGGCCGAUGGCGACCGGCGCACGGGUGAGUAACACGUAUCCAACCUGCCGUCUACUCUUGGACAGCCUUCUGAAAGGAAGAUUAAUACAAGAUGGCAUCAUGAGUCCGCAUGUUCACAUGAUUAAAGGUAUUCCGGUAGACGAUGGGGAUGCGUUCCAUUAGAUAGUAGGCGGGGUAACGGCCCACCUAGUCUUCGAUGGAUAGGGGUUCUGAGAGGAAGGUCCCCCACAUUGGAACUGAGACACGGUCCAAACUCCUACGGGAGGCAGCAGUGAGGAAUAUUGGUCAAUGGGCGAGAGCCUGAACCAGCCAAGUAGCGUGAAGGAUGACUGCCCUAUGGGUUGUAAACUUCUUUUAUAAAGGAAUAAAGUCGGGUAUGCAUACCCGUUUGCAUGUACUUUAUGAAUAAGGAUCGGCUAACUCCGUGCCAGCAGCCGCGGUAAUACGGAGGAUCCGAGCGUUAUCCGGAUUUAUUGGGUUUAAAGGGAGCGUAGAUGGAUGUUUAAGUCAGUUGUGAAAGUUUGCGGCUCAACCGUAAAAUUGCAGUUGAUACUGGAUAUCUUGAGUGCAGUUGAGGCAGGCGGAAUUCGUGGUGUAGCGGUGAAAUGCUUAGAUAUCACGAAGAACUCCGAUUGCGAAGGCAGCCUGCUAAGCUGCAACUGACAUUGAGGCUCGAAAGUGUGGGUAUCAAACAGGAUUAGAUACCCUGGUAGUCCACACGGUAAACGAUGAAUACUCGCUGUUUGCGAUAUACGGCAAGCGGCCAAGCGAAAGCGUUAAGUAUUCCACCUGGGGAGUACGCCGGCAACGGUGAAACUCAAAGGAAUUGACGGGGGCCCGCACAAGCGGAGGAACAUGUGGUUUAAUUCGAUGAUACGCGAGGAACCUUACCCGGGCUUAAAUUGCAGAUGAAUUACGGUGAAAGCCGUAAGCCGCAAGGCAUCUGUGAAGGUGCUGCAUGGUUGUCGUCAGCUCGUGCCGUGAGGUGUCGGCUUAAGUGCCAUAACGAGCGCAACCCUUGUUGUCAGUUACUAACAGGUUCCGCUGAGGACUCUGACAAGACUGCCAUCGUAAGAUGUGAGGAAGGUGGGGAUGACGUCAAAUCAGCACGGCCCUUACGUCCGGGGCUACACACGUGUUACAAUGGGGGGUACAGAGGGCCGCUACCACGCGAGUGGAUGCCAAUCCCCAAAACCUCUCUCAGUUCGGACUGGAGUCUGCAACCCGACUCCACGAAGCUGGAUUCGCUAGUAAUCGCGCAUCAGCCACGGCGCGGUGAAUACGUUCCCGGGCCUUGUACACACCGCCCGUCAAGCCAUGGGAGCCGGGGGUACCUGAAGUGCGUAACCGCGAGGAGCGCCCUAGGGUAAAACUGGUGACUGGGGCUAAGU
rnacentral:rRNA from 1 species